GACAUUCUCAGACCGGUUGAAGGCGUCGCUUCAGGAAGCACCUGAGGCUAAUUGCCUCAUCAGCAUCUUAAAGCCUGGUGGUUAGAGUGUCCGCCCUGAGAUCGACCAUCUUUUCUGCACCUUCUCUACAACCUGGGGUCCCACCAACAGCAACCAUGCAAUACCGUAAGAGACCGUCCUCAAGCAGACUGAUUGGCUGUCUGAUGCUGCUGUUACUUGCCAACAUGACUCCACGCCGCCCAAGACUGUACGUUUGCAGCCUGGAGACAUCCCAGGUCACCCCGACAGUAACAGCAGUUAUAAACAUUUUCUAUUUGAAAAAAUAUUUGCAAUUUUGUCUUUUUGACCCUUUGAGCUCAUUGUUGAACAUGCCCUUGCCUGACACGGAAGAGCAUGAGAUGGGAAGGCAUCAGCCUGGAGGCUCCAGCCAUUCCACAAUAUCUGCAUGCAGCAGCUGACCAAUCAACAGUCAGAUGCAGGUGGCGAGAAUAGGUUGGCCACCAAAUGGGAAAUGAAUCACGAGCAAGUAGAAGAAAAAAAGAACAAGAGGAGUCUUGUGUGUCACUCAAAAGUUGUUGUGGCAUAAACACUCCAGCCUUCACAGCCAAGAAAAUUAGAAAGGUCUCCUCUCUUCCUGUUAUUAAAUCACUCUUAAAAACACACAUUUAUUCCAUGGCCUUUAACAUUCUGUGAUCUCCAUCCUGCUAUGGCAUCCCAUUAUGCACCUGCUGUGAAUCUGUUUCUAUGUUUCAUUCAUUUAAUUAUCUAUUUUUUAUCAUGCUCUGUUUGUGUUGUGUUGUGUUUGCUCGUUUUGCUUGUGUUAUCUUUUAACCUGCCUAUUGUACAGCACUUUGGCUACUCCUAUGGUAAAUUUUAAAUGUGCUUUAUAAAUAAAGUUGAUUUGAUGAGAACAUAGAUUUUUUUUUUUCCUGUA